rnacentral:rRNA from 1 species
AAUGAACGCUGGCGGCGUGCCUAACACAUGCAAGUCGUACGAGAAAUCCCGAGCUUGCUUGGGAGAGUAAAGUGGCGCACGGGUGAGUAACGCGUGGGUAACCCACCUUCGAAUCUGGGAUAACUCCGCGAAAGCGGUGCUAAUACCGGAUAAGACCACAGCCGUUUCGGCGGCAGAGGUAAAAGCUGACCUCUCCAUGGAAGUUAGCGUUCGAGGACGGGCCCGCGUCCUAUCAGCUUGUUGGUGGGGUAAUGGCCUACCAAGGCUGCGACGGGUAGCUGGUCUGAGAGGAUGAUCAGCCACACUGGAACUGGAACACGGUCCAGACUCCUACGGGAGGCAGCAGUGAGGAAUUUUGCGCAAUGGGGGAAACCCUGACGCAGCAACGCCGCGUGGGUGAAGAAGGCUUUCGGGUCGUAAAGCCCUGUCAGGUGGGAAGAACCGUUUCGAUACUAAUAAUGUCGAAGCCUGACGUACCACCAGAGAAGCACCGCCAAC